CAAGGGCAGAAUGAGAAUUAACAAGCUGUAAGCUGCAGUGAGGAGUAUCAAAGCUAAAUAUCAGGGAAAAUGUUAGACCACUGGGAGCAGUUAGGCAAUGGAACAGACUGCUAGGAGAAGCCAUGAAGUCACUCUAAUUGGGGGCAUUUGAGGCAGAGAGCAGAUAUACAUCCGUCACAGGGGAAGGGCCUCCUGGGGGAAAAUAAGGAGCAGGACGCUAAUGGACCUCAAUGAACGAAGCAUAACAAGCCCUCAACUUUAACAGCAGAGCACAGUCUGAAGGUGUGAAGGCAGCGUGGGGCGAGAUUGGGAGUUGAAGAGUGCAAACAAACAGUCAUGGUGGUAUUGUUGAGAUGGUGAUUUGUGCAGUUUUCAUGAACUGGGUUCAAACUUUCAUUCUGCUACCUGCUAACUCAGCAUGGUUUCCUUCUUGGAUUCAGUUUCUUUGGCUAUAAAAUGGGGAGCAUGAUGAUCAUUUCACAAUGAAUGAUAUGAGGAUAAAAUAAGGCCACAUCUAUGAAUCAUUUCACCUGGCAUCAGUGACACAGGCAGUUCUAGGUAAAUGAUAUUUAUGAUAAAAGCCAGAGCUCUCCAGGACAAGAAGUGAGGCAGAGGGAAGGCUCCAGGCCCCAGCUUGCUUUAGUAGCUCAUCUUCUACUUUUGAGGGUGGCAGGGGGUCAGUGUUCAGAACUGGUGACAUUCAACUACUGAAUGAAUCUGUCCUGCAGAGAGGUUCAAGGUCAGGAGGAAGUAAUUUUGGAAAUUCUGGGAGUGGCAGAGGCCAGAACUGAGGAAAAGGAGCUCGGUGACUUUCAAAGGGUAGGGAUUGCUGCCAGUAGCAGAUGCUCUCAGUGCCCCACAGCACACCCCUCUUGGCCAGCCUCUGUGUUCACCACUGUGAUGGACAGCUCUACGUGAGCUCACACUCAGAUUACAACAAACCCUCACCUCUCAAGCCAGUCUUGCCACUAUCUGCCUUAGAAAAGGGCUCUUUCUGAGGCUGAAGAAGUCAAUGGGCCCCAUGCACAAGGGCAGCCCAGAGGUUUAUUGAUACCCCAAAGAACACCCUCAACCAACACAGUAUAGAAGCCAGUGGAUAAAUGCCCCCCAUUUCCCAUUAUUCGGGCAGAAAUUCUGGGAUGCAUUGGUUCUUCAGAGGCCCCAGUAGAACCAAGCCCCUACUGCCUACAGUGGCAAUGCCACUCCUGUUGGCUUUUCCUUCUUCUGGUCUCAGUCUCCUCAGGCUCUCACUCAUGCUUCAUGUAAUGAUUUCCCAAAUCAACCACCCAUACCUAAGUCCUUGGAUCAAACUCUGCUUCUGUGGAAACAAAAACUGAGGCAGUGUCUGAAAAAAAAAAUUCAAAAGGUCAGAAACAGGCUGGUCACGGUGGCUCAUGCCUGCAAUCCCAGCACUUUGGGAGGCCGAAGCAGGCAGAUCACGAGGUCAGGAGAUCGAGACCAUCCUGGCUAACACAGUGAAACCCUGUCUCUACUAAAAAUGCAAAAAAAAAAAAAAAAUAGCCAGGCGUGGUGGCAGGUGCCUGUAGUCCCAGCUACUGGGGAGGCUGAGGCA
rnacentral:lncRNA from 1 species